rnacentral:lncRNA from 1 species
GGGCACGGAGGUGCUGUCCUGACCUAGUUCCGCCGCCGGUAGGGCACCGGCCGGCGAGCCGCACCGCCCCCUGUCGCGCGCGAGUUUUGGCGAGAGGAGGAAGAAGAGUCUGGAGCCGCGGGCCCGUGCGUCAGAGGGGAAAAGAAGGAGGAGAAGAAGAAAGGCCGGGCGCGGGCGUCUGUUGGGCCGGCACUCCAGAGGCCUAGGAAGCCGGUGUCGGCCGGCCAGUGGGAGAGGAAGGCCGGAGGCCCAGAGGAGCCAGCAGGCCGGCGCUGCGGAAAAAGAAGAAAAAGAAAAGUGGGCCGUUGGGCCGUCGCGGGUAAAAAGAAAAGAAGGAGAAAGAGGAAUCGGCCCAGUAAGGCCCGGCCGGGGGAGAAGUAGGCCGACGGGUAGAAGGAAUAGGAGAAGGGGUGAGUCCGCGCCACGGGCCCAGUGCAAGUGAGAGGGGGUAGAGUCGAGCCGCGUGAGAAAAGUCGCCGGGGGUGUUUUUCGGGAAAAUUUAGAUUUCCUUUAUAGAAUAAUUAGUUUAAAUCGGAAUUUCACCAUUUAAAUCACAGAAAUUUCUAGGAGUGUCCAAAAUUAGUG